rnacentral:rRNA from 1 species
AUGCACAAGGGACCGAGAUUACUGGAUGACAAAAUCAAAGAUCAUCUUCGAUGUCUUCGUCAAGGAGAUGGCACAACAGAGGUUAUGAGGCAAUUUGGUCUUCUGCAGUUGGAACUGCCUCUCCCUAUAGAGAACCCGGUGCCAGCACACAUCCACAGGACGACAAGGAAGGGCAUGACCAGGACAACUGUUGACUGGCUAGUUAGACUAGAGCCGUAUGUUAUAGAAUGGGAGACAGCAAACACACAUCUAUGGCACGACAAUCACAAUUUUGAGCUCAAUGAAUUCAAUCUCUAUUUGCGGCGCUACAUGACCGGAACACGGUUACACAUCGUUGACCACUCCCACCCAGAGGAGAUACCGGAUCCUACUCCGUUGGAUAUGUACCCGAGCUAUGACACUUCGGGCUCUAGGCAGUACAUGGCUACUUUGACACACGAACUCUACGAGGACGUGACCACCUUUGGACGAUCACUGUCGUCUGGACCUCUUCUUCAACACCGUCCAGUGCUACAACCCUUAUUGGAACGAAUUCAGAACAAGAUACGGACUGUGUACGAGGCUAUCACGUGCACCCGGAGAACCGACAUUGUUCAGCACCAGCAGCAGCAACCGCGUCACUCCAUGUACCGACAUCAACCACGUCCACGUCUAGCACAUCAGCCGUCAACCAGGCCACCCCGUCCUGACCAACCUGGCAGUUCAACGUGGCAGCAACCACAACACUAUGGCCCCACGUCGAGCUUCGUGCUUUCUCCACAGCCACAGCAACACGGUCCUUCGUCGAGCUUCGUGUUUGAGCCAAAGCAGCCGUCACAACCAGCAGGAGCCUACGGAUAUCAUGCGUCUAUGUCAGCAUCACAUGAUAUGUGGGGGAGUGAUCAACAUCCCGAGGAAAACAUACAUGCUCAGAUGUCGCAGCACACCCAGUGGAUGAACAUGUAUUCGACUCCUCCACCAGGCCCCACACAGGAUACACAGCAUGACCAGGGAGAGUCUGAAAUUCCUCCUCGUAACAUUAGGCCACCUAACAGGUUGGGAUGGUCGCCGCUUUCAGAUCCGCCUCCCCGCCAGGCCAGACGUCGUCACUGA